AGUCGUAACAAGGUCUCCGUAGGUGAACCUGCGGAGGGAUCAUUACACAAAUAUGAAGGCGGGCUGGAACCUCUCGGGGUUACAGCCUUGCUGAAUUAUUCACCCUUGUCUUUUGCGUACUUCUUGUUUCCUUGGUGGGUUCGCCCACCACUAGGACAAACAUAAACCUUUUGUAAUUGCAAUCAGCGUCAGUAACAAAUUAAUAAUUACAACUUUCAACAACGGAUCUCUUGGUUCUGGCAUCGAUGAAGAACGCAGCGAAAUGCGAUAAGUAGUGUGAAUUGCAGAAUUCAGUGAAUCAUCGAAUCUUUGAACGCACAUUGCGCCCUUUGGUAUUCCAAAGGGCAUGCCUGUUCGAGCGUCAUUUGUACCCUCAAGCUUUGCUCGGUGUUGGGCGUCUUGUCUCUAGCUUUGCUGGAGACUCGCCUUAAAGUAAUUGGCAGCCGGCCUACUGGUUUCGGAGCGCAGCACAAGUCGCACUCUCUAUCAGCAAAGGUCUAGCAUCCACUAAGCCUUUUUUUCAACUUUUGACCUCGGAUCAGGUAGGGAUACCCGCUGAACUUAAGCAUAUCAAUGUAAAAGUCG
rnacentral:rRNA from 1 species